UGAGGUUUGAUUGUCUGUUGAUUCUCAGGUCUCAGGUUGUGGUUCUUCCUGCCCGCUGUGAGCCUGAAAUCAGAUUCCUGAGUGAUGUGGAAGGUCAGGGCAUGGAAAAGGUCCAGGCAGAACAGACCAGUAUUUGGAGAGAAACUUCAAUGAUGUGGAUUAAUCACCAAGCACAUAUGGCCAGGAAACCCUUCGAAGUGCAGAGGCAGGGGAAGGCAGGGAGAAAAUGCCCCCGAAUGUGUGUUUGGGGUCUGGACCAUUUUUGAGAAAAUGCUGAAUAAAUAAAUUCGUCUACUCCCAGAGAGCUGCCAGCAAAUUGAGAAAUGGCUGUCUCAAACUCUGGACAGAGAAGAUAAAUGCU